UCAACGUUCUCGAAAAUCGUAAAGAUAAAUAAUUUUUACGAAAAUCACAAACGAACCAACAGAUUGAACGUCUCAUCGGAAUUAAAUAUGAGACGACAACUCAUAUUUACUUCAAACCUACUCAGGAAAACUCGAAAAAGAAAACAUUCAUCAUGUAAAUAACCGCGUAAUGCAGUAAGGGGAUUCAGAGCCACCAACGGCCAAUCCCGAUAAACGAUAAAAACGGCCAAAAC
rnacentral:lncRNA from 1 species